CGUGUAGGCGGUCAGGUUAGUGGGACGUGAAAUGCCCCGGCUCACCCGGGGACCUGCGUCCCAAACUGCCUGGCUUGAGUAUGGGAGAGGAUGAGGGAAUUCCUGGUGUAGCGGUGAAAUGCGUAGAUAUCAGGAGGAACACCGGUGGCGAAGGCGCUCAUCUGGCCCAAUACUGACGCUGAGGCGCGAAAGCUAGGGGAGCAAACGGGAUUAGAUACCCCGGUAGUCCUAGCCGUAAACGGUGAUCACUAGGUGUUGGAGGCAUAGACCCCUCCAGUGCCGUAGCUAACGCACUAAGUGAUCCGCCUGGGGAGUACGGCCGACAAGGUUGAA
rnacentral:rRNA from 1 species